rnacentral:tRNA from 1 species
ACUGUGGCUCAGUCGGUAGAGCAGCUGAUUCGUAAUCAGCAGGUCACCAGUUCGAAUCUGGUCAG